UGCUCCAACAAAAAAUUCCGUCUUUCCAUACACAGAAGAUUUUGUGGUGAUAACAACAACUUAUGACCACGGACCCUUCUGUAUCUGGAAGAACCGGAAUCCUUUAAGUAAUAUU
rnacentral:precursor_RNA from 14 species